AGUGAACGCUGGCGGCAGGCCUAACACAUGCAAGUCGAGCGGCAGCGGGUUCCCGCGAGGGGGAUGCCGGCGAGCGGCGGACGGGUGAGGAACACAUCGGAAUCUGCCUGGUUGUGGGGGAUAACGUAGGGAAACUUACGCUAAUACCGCAUGCGACCCUGAGUCGACGGACUGGGGGUGAAAGUGAGGGACCUUCGGCCUCACGCGACCAGAUGAGCCGAUGUCGGAUUAGCUAGUUGGCGGGGUAACGGCCCGCCAAGGCGACGAUCCGUAGCUGGUCUGAGAGGAUGAUCAGCCACACUGGGACUGAGACACGGCCCAGACUCCUACGGG
rnacentral:rRNA from 1 species